GGCUGGGGAUGGAGGAAAUGCCUGUUGUCCCAGGUAACCAGAGGAGCCGAUGCAGCCACCCAUGGGGGACCCUGGGCUCCAGGUCAAAGGCUAGGACGCCUUUCCCCUUCCCCCCAUCCCCACGGCAGCUCUAUGGCUGGGCCCCUCCUCCUGCCCACUCUCUGGUACCACCUAGAGAGCACGGGGCCCACUCCCCAAACCAGACGGCAUGCCCUCCCCUAGGCCAAGAGGACCCGUUAGUAGGCACUGGCUUUCCUGCACAUCCCCUCAACGGGGCUGCCCCCCACAGCAGGUGAGCCCCCACCAUGAGUUUGAGAGACCAGGGCUGCUGGGGCCUGGUCAUGCAGGGCCCGGACAGGGGGCUGUCCCGCUGUGAGGAAGCUCUUGGCUUACCCUCCUCUGAGCCUCAGAGCUUGUGAGGUUAGUUCCUGGGUUCCCUGGGUGUGGGCAACCUCUAGCCCUGUUCAUCCCUUGCGUUUCAACAGUACCCCCAGGUGACCCCCACCCCUGAUGUUCCUGCUUUUCUAUUUUUAUUGUUGCUAAAUCACAGCUGACACUUUCCUGGCCUGAGACUGAGCCCUCCAGUCUCCAGCCAUUCCUUAUAGGAAGUAAGAACAGGGAAGUGGAUAGGGGAAACAGACCUUUCCAGAGGGAGAGGCUGGCAUAGGAAGGGCUGAGUCCCGUGGGUGUGUGCUGGCACCGACAGCCCCAUAGGCAGGGGCCUUCCCCCCGGCACCCUUCUCUCUCCCCACAGCUUCCCCCGCCCCGGAAAAGCUAGCAAGCCUUCCUUCCUUCCUCCGGGAAGCACAUCUAUCCAGAGCAGGCUCAUCCCCGGCGGCCACACAAUGGCCCUUAUCAGCCGUGGAGCCAGGCGUAGACCCAGUGCACACCAGACUACUGAGACCGCUCUGCGGGUGGGUUCAGACCCCAUUCCUGUUUCUGGUCCUGUGGGAAACCACAGGUGCCUGGAACUUUGAAGAGACUGUACCACUUCUCUGAGCCUUGGCUUUCCCAUCUGCCCAAUGAAGGGUGCCAUGCAGUAACCCUCGUGAUGGCUGUGCAUGUGAGAAGGAACAGGUGGGCAAGUGAGGGCUUUGGAGGUCCCUAGGUAUAUGUGUUGGGGGCAGGGAUAGGUUACCAUGGGGGAAAACUCAGCAAGAAGGGGCUGAGGAGAAGUGGGGCAGAAAGAGAAGAUGGUGGCAUUCUGGACUGGUUAACGCAGGCAGAAGGCUCAACACCAGGGUAUGCAGAGCAGCGGGUCAGGAGGGAUGAACAAGAGCUCAUUUGACUUAACAGAGUACAUUAAGCGGCCACCGGCAUAGAUGGCAUGCUCCACCUGGUUAGGGCCCCAGAGGCUCACCAUUCUAGAACCUCAUCCUAGCCCCAGUCCUGGCCACUUCUGCAAAUCUCAGACACAGAAGUCUAGUUGGGAUCUACAGGGUCCCUGUUCCUGGAAUCUACAGCUAGUCCCAGGCCCAUCACCGUACCCCCACCCCCCAAUCAUCAGUCACACGCAAGUGUAAAAGCCACG
rnacentral:lncRNA from 1 species